UGUAGAUUGAAGUAUUCCGGUUAUACUUUCACUAAAAACAGUAAGAACAAGGUAGAAAUUAGAGGCAUCAACAAGUUUUUAAGAGGCAACAUAGAGUUAUUAUGGCUUGUAGUACUUGGUGGGUACAAAAGGCAUCUUGGUAACCACCCCAUCAUAAGACUUUCCUCGAAUCACAAUCUUGACAUUAGUCCCUGUCUUGUGGUUACCCGUUUUUACGUAUCCCAUUGCUAUGUUCUUCUUCAGACAAGGGCUGAAACCACCACUGGUGAUUUCUCCAAUAUUUUGUCCAUUUGAAUCUUGAAUUUCACUGUGACUUCUAGGGGGUGGGCCUGAAGAGAAAAAGCCAAC
rnacentral:misc_RNA from 1 species